ACAAAAUAGAGGUAGAGGUCAUGGUGUGAAAGGCUGACAAGAAUUAUAAGGACCUUUUCUUGAAGUACGAGAUUAAAAAGGACCUAUAUUUUCUUCUUAUUUUUUAAUCUCUUGUUGUCUAGCUAAACAAACUAUAUUUUCUUCUUAAGUGCAAUGAUGAUUCUUGUAAUUUCACUGAAGCUGUAAAUUUUCUUUAUUAAUACAAACAUCGCUAGAAAUUGGCUAAGAUUAGAUCCUUGAAUGACCACAUAAAUUGUCAUUUUUGUAACUCAUUGUCUUGUAGGCCAUUGAUACUCUCUUUAUGUUGCAGUUUGUUUGAUGGACAUGUGUUUUGUGUUGCUUGUUGUGCUCUGCACGUCCAAGCCCUAUCUCAAAUAGGGGCCUUCGUUUUUGAGAGAGGCACUUUGAGGCGCAUUCGCAAGUCAAAAUCGAACUGUCUGAAGCUCCCGGAAAUUAAUCCCAUGAAACCACACAAAACAAAUCUCGACUUUGUCUUUUCGUCCCUAAAAUGCUGCUAUAAUCCCAAAACGCAAAUCGCAUAGAAUUAACCAGGUGUGCAGUGAAGAAGCUGGGUCACAACAACAAAAUUUGAAAAACGAGAGGCCGUUUACAUAUUGCGCCUUUGUAAUUGCCGAGAAAAGACCCUAAGCCUGCAUAACCCGAGAAAAUCCCGACGCUAAAGCAUAGUGAUAGGGUUCGAUUUUCUUCUAAGGUGAAAUAAAUAUUUCUUCCUUGCCAAAAUGACUAUGAAAUCGCCGAUAAACUCCCCUUGCAUUUGCCUGUAAAAUCCCCCUAGAAAAUGCGGAAGGUCGAGGGCAAACGUGAAAUUGGAAGUUCAAACUUUUUUAUGAAUCAUCUUCCUUGUAGGCAAAAUUGCGAUUUUUAUAUAAUGCCUUGAAUUUGCCGAAAAUCUCCCCAAAAUAGCCAGGGUCAAAAUCAAAGGAAAGUAUCGGGUGGCUUUGAUGUUGAAUGUUCGUAUUUUUUUUUAAUGAUCACCUUAUUCCCCGAGAGUGCCCCGAAUUCAGGUUAAGAUGAGUUGGCACAAAUAAAGUAAAGUCAACAUUCGCCUCUCCAUUUUGCCUUCAAUCACCGAAGAAAACAUGAGCCUUCUAGGGAGUCGAUAAAAUAUGAAAAGGGGGGUGCGAUGAAUGUAGGAAUUCUAAAAUUUAAGAUGUUUCUUUUACAAAGGAUAGAAUACUUAGCAUUCUAUUCUGUGUUGACUGGAAAGAGUAGCCGUACGAUUUCCGCCACAUCAACACUGCUGUUGCAAUGUAUAUGUUGUAUUGCGCAACUUAGGUUUAUAUAUUUUUUGUUUUCCAUUUCAAUUUAAUUUUAGGCAUUAUUUGUUCUGCAGUUUUUUGUUUUUUCUGUUUAUGUUUGGUCAAUAGCUGUGUAAUGAAAAUAACUAUUACAUAUAAGGAAGAUUCUUGCAGACCAUCUUGAAAGUUUGCUGUUUCUUGUACAUCCAUAGUUUCUUAAUGGUCUCCUUUUUCGCAAUUUCCUUAGCUUUCUUUAAGGUUCUCCAUAAUUGAGGCUUAGCUCCAAAUUUUUAUUAUAAAUGAAGAAAUUGAAUCAAUUACACAAACCUACUACAAAUAGUCAUUAAACAAGCGCACAAAAAUAGUAUCUAGCUUUCUGUCUACACAUUUUCUUUUCCUGCUCAUGAUUACUUGGAACCUAAUAAAUUUAUAUUUGGUCCUUUGUUGAUUAGACUUUCAUUCAUGAUGGUUUUGACAUGUGGAAAUGAAGAGGAUUUUUUGAAUUAUUGCCUAGCACUCAGGGGUUUAACUUGCCACAUGGAGGCCAUCUAUCUCAUGAAUUAAUGACUGCAAAAAGGGGAGUAUCUGCUACAUCUGUUUAUUUUAAAUCCAUGCCAUAUUGUGUAGAUGAAUCCACAACUGUGCUUAUUUUUUGGAUACUAGUAAUAAAUGCAAUAAAUUUCAAAAUUUAGGAAUACUCAUUGUGAUAUAUCUAAUAUUGUUUUGUUAUUGUAUUUGUUUUCUUUUUGGGUGCAAUUGUCAUUCAUUAUGAAAUGCUUGAGAAGGCUGCUACCCCUUUUAGGCCAAAGCUCAUGAUUGCUGGUGCCAGUGUAUAUCCUCAAGACGUUGACUAUCCUUACUUUAGAUUGCAAUUGAUAUGGAAGAUGUGAUUCAACUGGAGUCUUUGAUUGCGAAUUGGGUUGUAUGGGGACUGACUUUUCAACUGGUCCUUGGAUGUCUGGAGAUGUUAUGGUUUGGGUUGUAGGAGGUCAACACUGCUCCAAGUGAACCAACAAUUCUGUAGCAAUUGUUGUUAUGCCACAUCAUAACAGGCUGGUUCCAAGUAGCCUCGUGUUGUUUGUACAGCAGCAAAGCAUGUGCCUUGCUGGGUAUGAGAAGAAGACGGGAACAUGGUCAAGAAGAAGUGAUGUAGGCACUUGGUAAAUAAUGGUUAAGAUGGAAACCGGUACACUAGUGAGGUUCAUAUAAUUUUGGGGGGAUUCAAAUACUGCGAUUCAUCCCUACUUGAUACAAGGGGUCGUUCCUGGAAAUUUCUUGAUUUGAAAUCAACUAGCAUGGAGUAUGUGUUAUGUUGUUUUUCAUGCAUUUGGCUCAACUUCGAAGGGGAUAAACAACUGUCAUAAACUUGAUACCACAAUCUUGUGGCAGAGUAAAUUUUUUGGGGAUUCAUAAACUUGGCUCUACUCUUGAUACACUUGAUACCACAAUCUUGUGCCAGAGUAAACUUGGCUCUACCCUUAUGAACUGCUAAGGUACGCUAGUGAGGUUCAUAAAUUUUUUUUGGGAUUCAAAUAGUGCGAUUCAUCCCUACUUGUAAGUACUGCUUAGGCAGGCUUCAAAUUCUUGAUGGUUUUGAAGGUCAUAUAUUCUGACAUUGUUAUACAGGUUUUUGCAAUGAAUAUUCUCUUAAAUGUUAUUGCUACAUUUCUUAUAAUUAGGAUACAAGGGUGUGUUCCUGGAAAUUUCUUGAUUUGAAAUCAAAUAGCAUGGAGUAUGUGUUAUGUUGUUUUUCAUGCAUCAGGCUCAACUUCGAAGGGGGUAAACAACUGUCAUAAGCUUGAUACCACAAUCUUGUGCCAGAGUAAAUUUAAUUUGGAAAUAUUUCUAGCUUAUUUUUCUUAAAGUUGUUUCUCAGAUUUUGCUGAAUAAUGCUUAAGUAGACUUCUUGUGA